GAAAUGCGAUAAGUAGUGUGAAUUGCAGAAUUCAGUGAAUCAUCGAAUCUUUGAACGCACAUUGCGCCCGUCAGCAUUCUGGCGGGCAUGCCUGUUCGAGCGUCAUUUCAACCCUCAGGACCCCCCUUUCGCGGGGAGGGACCUGGCGUUGGGGAUCGGCCCGCCCCCCGCGGCGGCGCCGUCCCCGAAAUCUAGUGGCGGUCUCGCUGCAGCCUCCCCUGCGUAGUAGUUACAACCUCGCAUCGGAGCGCGGCGCGGCCACGCCGUAAAACCCCCGACUUUCUGAACGUUGACCUCGGAUCAGGUAGGAAUACCCGCUGAACUUAAGC
rnacentral:misc_RNA from 1 species